rnacentral:rRNA from 1 species
AUUGAACGCUGGCGGCAUGCCUUACACAUGCAAGUCGAACGGUAACAGGUCUUCGGAUGCUGACGAGUGGCGAACGGGUGAGUAAUACAUCGGAACGUGCCCGAUCGUGGGGGAUAACUACUCGAAAGAGUAGCUAAUACCGCAUAAGAUCUACGGAUGAAAGCGGGGGAUCUUCGGACCUCGUGCGGACGGAGCGGCCGAUGGCAGAUUAGGUAGUUGGUGGGAUAAAAGCUUACCAAGCCGACGAUCUGUAGCUGGUCUGAGAGGACGACCAGCCACACUGGGACUGAGACACGGCCCAGACUCCUACGGGAGGCAGCAGUGGGGAGUUUUGGACAAUGGGCGAAAGCCUGAUCCAGCAAUGCCGCGUGCAGGAUGAAGGCCUUCGGGUUGUAAACUGCUUUUGUACGGAACGAAAAGACUCCUUCUAAUACAGGGGGUCCAUGACGGUACCGUAAGAAUAAGCACCGGCUAACUACGUGCCAGCAGCCGCCGUAA